GGAAAUUAAUGUUAUGACUGGAUAAGACAAUUGUGAAGAAACUGCACUUCGAGACUGUCUAUCUCCAUAUUCUGAUGGAAAAGCGUGGACUUUAGAAGCAUUGCUCACUCCUUCAGUUUCUAACAAGCCAGUUCUUGGAGAUACUAGGAAGCCAAGAGCUUCCUCCAAGAAUGGAGAUUCCUUGGAAGUGAGGUUCACCUUGAGUCAAGAAAGACAAAUCACAUACAGUAAAAGGCAAUUGCCCAGGGUCUCAAGAACAGAGCCAGAAAGAAGAGCUGGGGCCAACGGGAUUGUGGGGGUCCUCUCUCCCACCUGAAAAGCUUCUGCUGCCUGCCGAUCCUCUCGAGAGGAGACGUCUCUGGGCUCUAGCACCUAAAACAGACAAACCUGGGAGGAUGCUUCUCUCUUCUGUGUCACACGUGUCCUGGAGAAAACCCAUGUAUCUGAAUGACCAAAGAAAACUAUGAGAAAAAGUGCAAAAUCUGUGCCAGGCCAUUCAGUGUCUGGCUGGGGCUCUGGGGUGCACAUGCAUUCCAAGAAGACUGAAGGGUGCCAAGCCUGCAGGAACUGUCCAUCAGACCUGCCUCUCACACCUGGAGUAGGACUGCCCAUCCAGCUUCAUGAUGCAGAACUGUCUUUAAAAGGCGACUGCAGAUAUGGAGAGAGGGAAUUCUAGCCCUGAUAGAACACAACCAGCUGUCCUGCUGGGGAAAGCUGCAUCCACCAGUGACAUGCCGCUCAAACUGGCCCAGGACACACUCUUACUACCUAAGGAAUAAGCCCCACAUUUGCUCUUUGUGGGUAAAAGGAGAGGGUGAGAGAGGAGGGGAGUGUCCGCACAGACAUGAGAAGCCUGCAGAUCCAGAUGAUUCCUUGCUGAUCAGAAUAAGAAAGAUCGACUUGUGAAAACCAUGACCCCGUAGCAGAUGAGCUUCUAAAGCAGGCUUCAACCAUGUGUCAUCUGGACCCACUGGUGGAGAAGUCUGCCCCGACUCUGUUGAUGGUCUGGGGGAUACCAUUACUGAGACAGAUUUAAGAAAUAAUCUCUACCAGUUGGCGAGAUCUGGAUGGUCACUUCUGCGAGACAGCAGUGUGCUCUUAUCAGCUUUCCACAGGGCAGGCUGUGGAAAUGGUGCUGAGAAGUCCUUUUGUAAAUUGAUUGUCCAUGGCUGCAGACUUACCAUCAAAUGGAAGAAGAUUCCAAGCUCUCAAAGAAAAGGAAAAAGAGAAGGAUGGAACCACAGACUCUGGGAUCCUGCCAGAGCCUAUUUCAGUGCUGCCAGGAGCUCCUCCUCCCCCUGCAGCUCUGGUCCCCGCCUUGGAGCCUCCUUCCAAGGACAGCCUCUGAGUCCAGCUUCCCCACUGACACUGAUUUCACCCAGCUCAGGAGCUGAAGGCUGUGCUGCUCAGUGGCCCCUGAGAAAGUCAGGGUGACCCCACGGGGGAUCCGAACCUAAGGAUUCUGGAAGCUUCCGGCCUUUGGCUCCACAGUUCCUCAGGAGAGGUUCAGUCUGCCUAGGACUGGGCCUCCCUUCCCAUGAAUAAAGAGUGAGCAAGAGCUCAGGUUGUGAA
rnacentral:lncRNA from 1 species